CCCAACUAUCCCUAUUAAUCAUUACGGUGAUCCUAGAAACCAACAAAAUAGAACCAAACCGUCCUAUUCUAUUAUUCCAUGCUAAUGUAUUCAGACGUUAGCCUGCUUUAAACACUCUAAUUUUUUCAAAGUAACAGUCCUGAUUCCCCACCACACCAAGUUAAUGACAUGAUGAUUCCUCAGAAGGUAGGAAUUCAAUACACCAGUACAGACAGUUAAGCCUGACCAAUGAAUAAAUUCCGAAGUUCAACUACGAGCUUUUUAACUGCAACAACUUUAAUAUACGCUAUUGGAGCUGGAAUUACCGCGGCUGCUGGCACCAGACUUGCCCUCCAA
rnacentral:misc_RNA from 1 species